GAGCAGGGCGCUAUGGGGCGCAGUGGGGCGCAGUGGGGCGCAGUGGGGCAGAGCAGAGCAGGGCGCUAUGGGGCNNNNNNNNNNNNNNNNNNNNNNNNNNNNNNNNNNNNNNNNNNNNNNNNNNNNNNNNNNNNNNUAUGGGGCGCUAUGGGGCGCAGUGGGGCGCAGUGGGGCAGGGCAAAGCAGGGCGCUAUGGGGCGCUAUGGGGCGCAGUGGGGCGCAGUGGGGCAGCACCUGGAGAAGGUGUUGCGGGCGUAGUGCAUGAUGCUGUCGAAGUCGUACGUCUCCCCCAGCGACUCCACCUCCUCCGGCUCCAUCUUGAGGAAGUUGUACUCCUGCCCUGCGGGGCGGCGGCGGCGCGGUUGGGGGGCGCAGCGCUGUGGGGCCGCCCCAUAGCGGUGUGGGGCGCAGGGGGGGGCGAUGUGGGGCACCUGGCUGGAUGUUGUCGCGGAUGAUGGCGACGUGCUGGUCGCGGUCGGGCCGCGUGUGCUCGUGCCAGAAGCCGAUGACGUGGCCCAGCUCGUGCACCACGAUGCCGAACUUGUCGCAGUUCUUCCCGAUGGAAAUGGCCUGCGGGCCCCCCCCGCGCCGCCCCACGUAGGAGCAGCACCUGGGGGGCGGGGGGGGUCAUGGGGGGGGGGCGGCGUUGGGACCCCCGCCCCAAAUCUGGGUGCUGGAGGCGCGGCGCCGCUGCGGGUUGGGGGUGGAUUCCAUGCGUGGCGUCCCGACAUCGAGGGGGAAACUCUGCCCCAUAAGUGCCCCAAAAGGGCGACCCCAAAGCAUGCGAGAAUUGGGUGCCCCCAACCCCAACCCUAAAAGACCCCCAGCCCCACAGCUGCCCCACAUGUGGGACCCCAAACCCGUCCACCGUUGGGUUCCCCAUCCCCAAAGCAGAACCUCUGCCCCAUAGGUGCCCCAAAACCACGACCCCAAAGCCUGCGAGAAUUGGGUGCCCCCACCCAACCCCAAAAGACCCCCAGCCAUUGGCUUCCCCAUCCCCACAGGAACCCCUGCCCCAUAAGUGCCCCAAAACCAAGACCCCAAAUGCAGUGAGAAUUGGGUUCCCCAUCCCAUUCCCCAAAAGACCCCCAGCCCCAUAACUGCCCUAUAUGUGGGGCACCACGACCCCAAACCCCCCUGACCAUGGGCUCCCCCAUCCCCAUCGCCCCACAGAACCCCCUGCCCCAUAACUGCCCUAUAUUUGGGAUAACACGAUCCCAACCCACUGAGCAUUGGGUCCCCCAUCCCCCUCACCCCAUGGAAGA
rnacentral:lncRNA from 1 species